rnacentral:miRNA from 1 species
CACGGACCCUUUGGCAGAUGAGU